rnacentral:rRNA from 1 species
UACGUAGGGGGCUAGCGUUGUCCGGAAUCAUUGGGCGUAAAGAGCGUGUAGGCGGUCCGGUAAGUCCGCUGUGAAAGUCGGGGGCUCAACCCUCGAAUGCCGGUGGAUACUGUCGGGCUAGAGUGCGGAAGAGGCGAGUGGAAUUCCUGGUGUAGCGGUGAAAUGCGCAGAUAUCAGGAGGAACACCAGCGGCGAAGGCGGCUUUCUGGUCCGAUUCUGACGCUGAGGCGCGAAAGCGUGGGGAGCGAUCCGG